AGGACGAACGCUGGCGGCGUGCUUAACACAUGCAAGUCGAGCGGUAAGGCCCUUCGGGGUACACGAGCGGCGAACGGGUGAGUAACACGUGGGUGACCUGCCCUCAGCUCUGGGAUAAGCCCGGGAAACUGGGUCUAAUACCGGAUAUGACUUUCGGUUGCAUGACUGGGAGUGGAAAGUUUUUCGGCUGGGAUGGGCCCGCGGCCUAUCAGCUUGUUGGUGGGUGAUGGCCUACCAAGGCGACGACGGGUA
rnacentral:rRNA from 1 species